rnacentral:rRNA from 1 species
UACGAAGGGGGCUAGCGUUGCUCGGAAUCACUGGGCGUAAAGGGCGCGUAGGCGGAUCUUUAAGUCGGGGGUGAAAGCCCAGGGCUCAACCCUGGAAUUGCCUUCGAUACUGAAGAUCUCGAGACCGGAAGAGGUAAGUGGAACUGCGAGUGUAGAGGUGAAAUUCGUAGAUAUUCGCAAGAACACCAGUGGCGAAGGCGGCUUACUGGUCCGGUUCUGACGCUGAGGCGCGAAAGCGUGG